rnacentral:rRNA from 1 species
GACGAAGGGGGCUAGCGUUGUUCGGAAUUAUUGGGCGUAAAGCGCGCGUAGGCGGUUAUCUAAGUCGGAUGUGAAAGCCCUCGGCUUAACUGAGGAAGUGCACCCGAAACUGGAUAGCUAGAGUACGAAAGAGGGUCGCGGAAUUCCCGGUGUAGAGGUGAAAUUCGUAGAUAUCGGGAGGAACACCGGUGGCGAAGGCGGCGACCUGGGUCGAGACUGACGCUGAGGCGCGAAAGCGUGGGGAGCAAACAGG